GCUUAUCACCAUUCCAGAUUGAAUAUACCCGAUCUCGUCUGAUCUCGGAAGUCAAGCAAUCUCGGGCUUGGUUAGUACUUGGAAUGGGUGAACCCGCUUGGGAAAUACCAAGUGUGAUAAGCA
rnacentral:rRNA from 1 species